rnacentral:lncRNA from 1 species
UUUCUCAGCCUGGAGACUGAAAGCUCUCUUUGGCUGUUGGCCCUCCCAGGCAGAGUCCACUGGCUGUUAGGGUGAAAUGGGGCUGAUGCUUCCUGGAAUCCACCAGAAGUAUGCAAAUUGCACCAUCUCUUUCAGCUGCCUGUGCCUGCAUUCCAUCAAGGAUUCCAGCUCGGCCCCAGUGGCAACAACUAGAGAGGAGGUGAGGAUCCCUGGUGCUGCCAUCUGAUAGGCUGUCUCCCUAGCUCCUCUUGCACUGGCAAUCCUUUCAUCACACAGGCCUUGUUUUGAAGGGACCUAUUCCACCCACAGUGGUUUCUUACCUCUAGGAGACCAAAAAGCUGUAGUCAUUGCUGUGGUAUCAGGAACUCGAGUUCCUCUCAGAGGUGUUGUGAAGAGCUUCCCUUCCAACAGUACAUGGCCUAAAUACCAGGGAGGAAGUUUCUGACUUUUUCCAUCUUCAGUAAAACAGAACCUCUGUUGUGGAUGCAGUGGCUUUGCAAGGAGAGUGGCAUUGUCUCUUGGUGAAUGUAGUUGUUCAAGGCCUGG